UGUGUGCUGUUCACACACAGGGA
rnacentral:piRNA from 1 species